AGCUGAGUGGCGCAGCGGAAGCGCGCCGGGCUCAUAACCCGGAGGACACUGGAUCGAAACCAGUCUCAGCUA
rfam:Ascochyta rabiei strain ArDII scaffold_370, whole genome shotgun sequence.